UAGGCAGAAGUUUCCCCUCCCCCAUUUGGAAGCUGCAGUCCAGAAUAGAAAUUCACCAGAGCAUAGGACUCAGAAGGGGAAGGAGUGAAUGGAGAAAGUUGAUUAUCCUCACAGUGGAAAGCAGAAAAAUUUUAUCCAGCAGAACCCAAGGUACCCUGCUGUUAUUCUGCUUCUCAACUUACCAUAAGGAUUUCUAAAGAUAAAUGUUUAUCAACCACCUGGGGGAAAUACAAGAAAACAUUAUAUUUUAUUAUUGUUAUGAAGUCCCUUCAACUGCCUUUUGAAUGGCCUUUUAUUUAUGUCUCAACUUGAGCAAUAAAGUAAACGACUGCCCCAUGCUUCAGACAUGACAUCAAGGGGAGUCAUCUGAACCUUUAUACUAUUCCAAGGUGCCUGAUGCAAGAGUUACAA
rnacentral:lncRNA from 1 species